rnacentral:rRNA from 1 species
UAAAGCGUCUGUAGGUUGCCUAACAAGUCUGUUGUUAAAGGUCAAAGCUUAACUUUAAAACUGCAGCAGAAACUGCUAGGCUUGAGUACAGUCGAAGUAGAGGGAAUUUCCAGUGAAGCGGUGAAAUGCGUAGAUAUUGGAAGGAACACCAAUGGCGAAAGCACUCUACUAGACUUUUACUGACACUCAAAGACGAAAGCUAGGGUAGCAAAUGGGAUUAGAUACCCCAGUAGUCCUAGCCGUAAACGAUGGAUACUAAACAUUGCGUGCAUCGAUCCGCGUGGUGUUAUAGCUAACGCGUUAAGUAUCCCGCCUGGGGAGUAUGCUCACAAGGGUGAAACUCAAAGGAAUUGACGGGGGCCCGCACAAGCGGUGGAGCAUGUGGUUUAAUUUGAUGCAACGCAAAUAACCUUACCAGGGUUUGACAUGGUGUUAAUUCUUUGAAAAAAAAACUACCGUUCGCGGUACACACACACAGGUGGUGCAUGGCUGUCGUCACCUCGUGUCUUGAGAUGUUGGGUUAAGUCCCGCAACGAGCGCAACCCCUGUUUUUAGUUACAAGUAAUCUAAAAAGACUAUCGGUUAUAAACCGGAGGAAGGUGGGGACGACG